CGGCGCUUGCGCGUCCCGCCGGCGACCGGCGCACGGGUGAGUAACACGUAUGCAACCUGCCCCCGCCAGGGGUACAACCCUCCGAAAGGGGGGGCUGAUACCGCGUACAUCCCCUGGGGGCAUCCCCGGGGGAGGAAAGCCCUUUUGGGCGGGCGGGGAUGGGCAUGCGGCGCAUUAGGAAGACGGCGGUGUGACGGACCACCGUUCCGACGAUGCGUAGGGGUUCUGAGAGGAAGGCCCCCCACACUGGUACUGAGACACGGACCAGACUCCUACGGGAGGCAGCAG
rnacentral:rRNA from 1 species